CCAGUAACAUAGUCUGCCGUAAAAAUUAUACGAAAUACAGGGCACGCAGUCGAAGAUAUUACAGUGCAUUAUAUGCAUAUUUCUACGUUACGAUAGGGUUAUCAGUAUUCGCACAUCUCAUCCUUUGCCUAUUUCGGAAGAUAUAUCAUAUAAACUAACACUGCUUUUCCAACUGUACUGACAAAGAUUGCGCAAAAUUUUGCAAGAAUGGGGAGGCAAAAUCAGUGCAUGCAGCACGUAUACGCAGCAUCUGUUCUUCUGGGGCUACUCGUAUUUCAUAUUGGCCUCGUUUCACCUGGUCAUAGUCGGAAAAAAG